UAGUUGGUUCUCUUCCUUCCCGCUCUCUGCAGGAAGAUGGGAGUCCCAUACUGCAUUGUCAAAAACAAGGCCAGGCUUGGACGCGUAGCCAGGAGGAAGACCUGCACGGCUCUUGCUAUCACCAAUGUUGAGUCUGCUGAUAGAGGAACCCUCAGCAAGCUCGUCGAGACGGU